CCCUUAGAUGUUCUGGGCCGCACGCGCGCUACACUGAUGCAUUCAACGAGUCUAAAACCUGCUCUGAUAGGGGUGGGUAGUCUUUUGAAUGUGCAUCGUGAUUGGGAUAGAUGAUUGCAAUUUUUCAUCUUCAACGAGGAAUGCCUAGUAAACGCAAGUCAUCAGCUUGCAUUGAUUACGUCCCUGCCCUUUGUACACACCGCCCGUCGCUCCUACCGAUUGAAUGAUCCGAUGAAUAUCAUGGAUUGAGGAUGCAAGCAGGUUCGCCUGUCUUCAUCUUCGAGAAGUGAAGUAAAUCUUAUCAUUUAGAGGAAGGAGAAGUCGUAACA
rnacentral:rRNA from 1 species